AAAAACUAGAAAUUGAGAUGUGGGGAACAAAAGCUAUAUAUAUCUGUAAUCUGUAUACCGUUGCUUAAUUUCCCUCUCCCCUCUUGGACGCAUCCGCAUCCCUCAAACCCUAGAUUUCAACUGUUUCAGAUCUCUUCUCGGCAUUGGCAGACGAACAAAUACAAGAAAUUUUGAAAUUGCAACAAGAAGUUUCAUCAAAAAAGAUUGCUCUGGCGGCUGCUAAGAGACGUUUAAAGGAAUUGGAUAGUCAAGCGAGAAAGUGCAAAGCUGAAAAGCGAAGACUGAGGGAUGAAAUUUCAAAGGCCGGUGUUGCUGUAGUAUAUAAUAGAGAAGACGUUCCAGCAGUUAAAGAAUUGGUGGAAACCUAUAACGUUGACUGUGUUUUUGUCCCAUUCACCGAUGAAAUUAAGAAGGAGAUGAGGGAUGCCGGCCUUAAUGUAGGACCAUGACACAAGCUGCAGAAUACAUAGAAAAGAUUAUGCUCAAUACUUUGCAAGGAGUAAAGGUUGUUGAUCAAGUUGGAGGAAAGCUAAAGCUAUCAAUACAUGAUGUGCCAAGAUUUUUUGAAUUUUGAAGUUGUUUUCGAUAUAUUCAGUGGAGAUGUUAUUAGUUUUGCUGAUAAAUACCAAUAAAUUUGUGGAAAUAAUUUGAUU